rnacentral:rRNA from 1 species
GUGUCAGCAGCCGCGGUAAUACGUAGGUGACGAGCGUUAUCCGGAAUUACUGGGCGUAAAGCGCACGCAAGCGGUUGGACAAGUCUGGCGUGAAAUCUCCUGGCUUAACUAGGAGCGGUCGCUGGAAACUGUCGAGCUUGAGGCGAUGAGAGGGGUGCAGAAUUCCCGGUGUAGUGGUGGAAUGCGUAGAGAUCGGGAGGAAUACCAGUGGCGAAAGCGGCACCCUGGCGUCGUACUGACGCACAUGUGCGAAAGCGUGGGGAGCGAACGGGAUUAGAUACCCCUGUAGUCC